GCACAAUCUAAAGCUUUUCAACGGAUUGUGAAUUCUGAUAAAUAAAUAACACCACCAGUUAAAUGACUCUUCCUUGUCCUCUCUGGGUUGGCUCCUUCUCAGCCGGCGUUUAACCCAACUCACUGAGCAAGGAUCUCUCCAUUCUUUGCUCUUUUAUUUGUGGAUUCAGUUCAAUUCUUAUUGAAUUGUAUGGUGUUUGUUGAUUUGCUGCACAUCUGGGCACCGACAAAUAUUUCCAUUCAUCUUGAAGAGUUCGUGAAUUCUUGCUUUUUCCUUUUUUUGACGAGGUGGGUCAAUCUGAUUUUGGCUCUAGAUUGGUGGGUCUGAUUUUUUUUUUUCUGAUUUGGAUUGAUUAAGAUCGGUGGAUUUGUCUUGAAGAUUGAGUUUGAUUCAAAUUUUCUGGGUUUAAUUUGAAAUGGUCUAUUUCCAUAGCUCAAUCUCGGUCUGCAACUCCGUCGACCAAUCAACAGCAGUCAUGGCAAAUUCUGUGAAUUCCAAUGAGUUGCAUCCAAAAUCAAGACACAAUAAUCUUGUGCACAAGAAUAGAAAGACAAAUAAUCAUUCAAAUUGUGCUAGUAUACCUGUCUGUGAUCGAUCUCGAUCAGCUGUCAUUGAUGUUGUGAUCUUGAUUGCUGUUAUUGGUGCUUGUGGGUUCUUGUUAUUUCCUUAUGUCAAGUUUGUAACCCUUUAUUCGAUUGAAUUUGUUGGUACCGUUCAUUAUGUGGUCAAAGAUGAGGUUACGAGAAAUCCAAUGAUAUAUGCUUCUAUAGGGUUUAGUACUUUUUGUGCUGCAAUAGCUGCUUGGAUAAUACUUAUAUGCACAACUAGGAAAUGUGGGAAUCCAAAUUGUAAGGGCCUAAGGAAGGCAGCUGAAUUUGAUAUUCAGCUGGAGACAGAGGAGUGUGUGAAGAACUCAAAUGGUACUUUGGUGAAAGAUGGGGUGAAAAGGGGUCUAUUUGAAUUGCCUCGCGAUCACCACCGUGAAUUGGAGGCUGAACUGAAGAAGAUGGCACCACCAAAUGGAAGAGCCGUUCUGGUGUUUCGAUCAAGGUGUGGAUGUUCUGUUGGAAGAUUGGAAGUACCGGGACCAAAGAAGCAAAAGAAGAUCAAGAAGUAGGACUAUUAUAUUUCUUAAUUUUAGAGGAGGGAACUAAUAUAGUAGUAGAGUCAUGAGGGAGAAAGGAGUGUCUUCUCUGAUAGAUCUUCUCAGGAGCUACCUUGUCCUUAAAUAAGCCAUGGCAAUAAGUUGUAAGGGAUUUUAUAUACAUUUGGUUAUAGUGGAGAAUAUGAGAAUCCUUUAUUUCAUCAACUUUAUUUGCUAUUAUAUAAUAAUUGUUUCUGUUGUUU
rnacentral:misc_RNA from 1 species